rnacentral:rRNA from 1 species
AUUGAACGCUGGCGGCAUGCCUUACACAUGCAAGUCGAACGGCAGCACGGGUGCUUGCACCUGGUGGCGAGUGGCGAACGGGUGAGUAAUACAUCGGAACGUACCUUAUCGUGGGGGAUAACGCAGCGAAAGCUGUGCUAAUACCGCAUACGCCCUGAGGGGGAAAGCGGGGGAUCGAAAGACCUCGCGCGAUUAGAGCGGCCGAUGCCUGAUUAGCUUGUUGGUGGGGUAAAAGCCCACCAAGGCGACGGUCAGUAGCUGGUCUGAGGGGACGGUCAGCCCCACUGGGACUGAGACACGGCCCAGACUCCUCCGGGAGGCAGCAGUGGGGAAGUGUGGAGAAUGGGGGCAACCGUGAUCCAGCAAUGCCGCGUGAGUGAAGAAGGCCUUCGGGUUGUAAAGCUCUUUUGUCAGGGAAGAAACACCGGCUCUAACACAGUCCGGGAAUGACGGUACCUGAAGAAUAAGCACCGGCUAACUACGUGCCAGCCGCCGCCGUAA